GACGAACGCUGGCGGCGUGCCUAACACAUGCAAGUCGAGCGGGGUUGAAGCGAGGGGUAACUCGGACUUCUACCUAGCGGCGGACGGGUGAGUAACGCGUGGGCAACCUGCCUCAAGGUUUGGGAUAACAGCUCGAAAGGGCUGCUAAUACCGGAUAUGCCUGUGGCCUCGCAUGGGGCUAUGAGCAAAGGGGAAACCCGCCUUGAGAUGGGCCCGCGUCCCAUCAGCUAGUUGGUGAGGUGAAGGCUCACCAAGGCGACGACGGGUAGCCGGCCUGAGAGGGUGACCGGCCACACUGGGACUGAGACACGGCCCAGACUCCUACGGGGGCAGCAGUGGGGGAUCUUGCACAAUGGGCGAAAGCCUGAUGCAGCGACGCCGCGUGAGCGAAGAAGGCCUUCGGUUGUAAGCUCUGUCUGGAGGGACGAGAAAUAGACGGUACCUCCGGAGGAAGCCACGGCUACUACGUGCCAGCAGCCGCGGUAAACGUAGUGUG
rnacentral:rRNA from 1 species